rnacentral:rRNA from 1 species
CAUGCAGUCGAGCGGUAGCACAGGGGAGCUUGCUCCCCGGGUGACGAGCGGCGGACGGGUGAGUAAUGUCUGGGAAACUGCCUGAUGGAGGGGGAUAACUACUGGAAACGGUAGCUAAUACCGCAUAACGUCGCAAGACCAAAGAGGGGGACCUUCGGGCCUCUUGCCAUCAGAUGUGCCCAGAUGGGAUUAGCUAGUAGGUGGGGUAAUGGCUCA